GAACCCUCACUCAAGGAUUAAAGGGAGAUCCCACCUACCUUGUUGUGGAGAAAGACAGAACUCUUGCAACAUAUGGAAUUAAUGCAGUCUGCACACAUCUUGGGUGUGUUGUGCCCUGGAAUACUGCUGAGAAUAAGUUCAUCUGCCCAUGCCAUGGGUCCCAGUACAAUGACCAAGGAAGCGUUGUGAGAGGGCCUGCCCCUCUGGUAAGCUGAAAUGGAACUUUGUAGGUGAUGGUUUCCCAUAUAAUUUGAUUGAUCCAAAGACAAGGUUAAUAACCCAUUGCAUUUAUUACACGAAGUUCUUUUAUAUGUAGGUGAUGGUUUCCCACUUCAUUUGAUUCUUCGUCGUCUGUGUGUAUAUGGACGAUUGGAAAAUUUACCCUUUUAAACAACAUUUUUGGAUGCUAACAUGAUUGAGAACCUAAAUCAGUGUUGCUUUAUCAGACUUGAUCCUAAUAUUCCACUAGUCCUAAACCUACAUUUUUCUUAGCACUUCAAAUGAACUAAACACAUAAUGUGCUCAAUGGGAAAAUCAAAUAUUUCAGCUUUUAAUUAGGGAAUGAGAACUUUAACAUUACAUAUCUAAAUGCAAGGAUUUUUCAUUUCAUUCAUCAUGUGGCAGAGCAAAGAAGCAUUAAUUACUUUAAAAUUCAUUCUGCAACUAAGAUUAAUCCUACCAUCCUUAGUAGAGAAAAAAUCUUAUGGAAUGUUAACGGAGCAUGUCUAUGGUUGAACAUUUCUUCAUUAUCGUUAUGAUUUUGCUUUUCUUGCUUGUCAAUAACCAACUGCGAUUCUACUUAUCAUGGUACAGUCUCUAGCUCUGGCUCAUGCUGAUAUAGAUGACGGAAAGGUGGUCUUCGUACCAUGGGUUGAAACAGAUUUCAGAACUGGAGAAGCUCCAUGG
rnacentral:misc_RNA from 1 species